GCUCGUAGGAGCUGCGCGGCGGGCGGGGAGCGGGAUGGAGGUGGAGGAGGCAUUCCCGCUGGUGGGGCAGAUGGGCCCUUACCAGGUGUACCUGUGCGUCCUGCUGGCCGUGCUCCUGCAGCUCUACGUGGCCACAGAAGCCAUCCUCAUCGCAUUGGUGGGUGCAACUCCUCCCUACCACUGGGAUCUCCAAGGGCUCUCAGCUAACCAGAGCCAUGGCAACCACUCAGUGAGCGAGCAGAGAGCUUUUGGGGAAUGGCUUCUGACUGCCAAUGGCAGCGAGGUGCAUAAGCACAUACACUUUGGCAGCAGCUUCACAUCCAUAGUCUCUGAGUGGUUUUUAAUUGGCAAUACAUCAUACAAAGUCAGUGCUGCCAGUUCUUUCUACUUCAGUGGUGUGUUUGUUGGAGCCAUCUCCUUUGGCCAGCUGUCCGAUCGCUUCGGGAGGAAGAAAGUCUAUCUCACAGGUUUUGCACUUGACAUCUUGUUUGCCGUUGCAAACGGAUUCUCACCCUCGUAUGAAUUCUUUGCCGUUUCCCGAUUCUUGGUAGGGAUGAUGAACGGUGGGAUGUCACUGGUAGCCUUUGUUCUACUGAACGAGUGUGUGGGUACAGCCUACUGGGCAUUAGCAGGUUCUAUUGGUGGCUUGUUCUUCGCUGUGGGAAUUGCCCAGUAUGCUUUAUUAGGGUAUUUCAUUCGUUCCUGGAGGACUCUGGCUAUUGUGGUUAAUCUGGAAGGAGCAGUCGUCUUUCUCCUCUCUCUAUUCAUUCCUGAGUCCCCCCGCUGGCUCUAUUCCCAGGGCCGUCUGAACGAGGCAGAAGAUGCCCUCUACCUCAUUGCAAAGAGGAACCGCAAGCAGAAAUGCACUUUUUCAUUAAAACUCCCAGCUGAGAGGAGCUCCAGAGAGGCUGGCAGCUUUCUGGACCUGUUCCGAUACAGGAUUCUCCUGGGGCGCACCUUGAUCAUGAUGUUCACCUGGUUUGUGUGCAGCUUGGUUUACUACGGUCUUACCCUUAAUGUGGGUGACUUAGGCGGAAGUAUUUAUGCCAAUUUAGCCCUUUCAGGCUUGAUAGAAAUCCCAGCAUACCCAAUCUGUAUUUACUUGAUUAACCAAAAAUGGUUUGGUCGGAAGCGAACGCUGAGUGCGUUUCUGUUCCUGGGAGGAUUGGCUUGUCUUAUUGUCAUGUUUCUGCCUAAGAAGAGAGAUACUGGAGUGUUUGCAGUGGUGAAUAGUCGCUCUCUGUCUUUGCUGGGAAAACUGACAAUCAGUGCUGCUUUUAACAUUGUCUACAUCUACACAUCAGAACUUUAUCCCACAGUCAUCAGGAAUGUUGGAAUGGGUGCCUGCUCCAUGUUUUCCCGUGUUGGUGGAAUCAUUGCGCCUUUUGUCCCUUCAUUGAAAUCUGUACAGUGGUCUCUGCCUUACAUUGUGUUUGGAGCAACUGGUCUGUUGUCUGGGCUCUUAAGCUUAUUGUUGCCAGAGACCUUAAACAGCCCUUUGCUAGAAACUAUUUCAGACCUGCAGGUGUGCUCCUACUGGAGGCUGGGUGAUGAAGCCAUGUCACUGCAAGCCCUAGAUGGCUCACAGUCCGGAGACAAAGACAGCUCUACAGGGAGUGGAAGUGAAGAUGAGGAGUUCUAUGAUGCUGAUGAAGAGACUCACAUGAUCAAGAGAGGGAUUUGAGUACUGUUCAGACUGAUGACAUCACUGAUGCUCUCCAUUCGAGGCAGCCAUUCCAAUUCUUGUGGUUCAGAAUGACAGUGCAUGGACUGCAUUUGAAGCCAGGACUAUCGUAGGUCAAGUAACUGAAACUCCUAAGGACAUAAACAGACAUUUAUAGCCAAGCUCUGUGUCUGUGUGCAUUUACAUCCUUGCUGAUUUCAGAAGACAGAACUUAGGCCUCCUCUUGACCAGAGGACCAGCCAAAGGGGUAAACUAUUUUUUUUUUUACUGCUCCACCUUUCAUCAUCAUGAAAACAAAUCACUGUGUAGUCUCUGUCCUGUAGAGUUCUGCAUUGUUUUCUCAUUCCUGUUUAAUUUGAACUAACAAUCAAAAGUCCUUGCCAGCUGAGAGCUGAGUAACAGGAAAUUGGUAACGGGGCAGGGGGAGCAGAUUCAGUUCAAAAAUGAAGUUGUAUAUAGUUGAUGUGUGUGUACUGUUGAGUAUUUAACUUGGAUUAAUGGAAUACUGAGUGUUAAUGAGCCUUCCUGUGUUAAAAUGAGGACUGAUAUAUUGCAGAGGUACCUUCUCUUCUUUAACUGUAUUAGUGUGCUGUUGUUAACUCAGAGCUGUACUGCUGGAAAGUCUGUAGAAUACUUAAUCUGAGAAGUCACAACUGAAGACAGCAUAAGCUUUUCCACAGUAGACCUUUUAUGGUGAUAUAUUCAUAUGUUCUGUGAACAGCUGUUGGGUCCAUCUUUUUAAGAUGUUCUUUGCCAUAGGUGAGGGGCCAUGUUGAAAAUGUUGAAAUAUUCAGAGUAAUUGCACUUAUCUAUUCUGUUUUCUUAAUGUAUUUCCUAUGCAUACUGCCUUACCUGUAUGUAUUGUACUUCACUGGAGGUAGGAAAAGUAAAUGUCAGGUUCUUAAUUUCCAACAUGUUAAUGAGCUUUUAAAAUAAUUCUGUAAUACUAAAUAUUUUCCAGUGAUCUCUGUCUGCUAAGAGAGGGUGAUGAUGGGUAAACCCAGGUGAAUUUAGUCAAAAGUUAAUAUUUGUGGUCUUAACUUUCUCUUUUAAUUUCUGAAUUAUUUCAAUAAUUUUACAUACCUCUUUUAAGAAUUUUGUAGAGGCUAACCUAUGUUAGUAAGACAACUUCUGGGUGAUUUGUAACAGCUCUGAUACUGCCUCUGACUCGUACAGUUCGUCCAAUGUCUUUGUAACUUAUUUUGUGCCUUUUCUUCCCCUGACACAAAAUGUCUCAAU